UUUUCUUCAUAAACUCCACUUGACCAUGCCCAAGAAGUACCACAAUAUAAAUGAUAAGCUAGGAGAUCAAAUUAAUAAUCUUUUCUUUACAUGCGAAUGAUAAUUUUCUGUACAGCUAACUUAACCAUAAAAGAAAAUUUGAACAUGUUUUUGACAUCAAGUUAUAUUUGCUAUUACAGUAGAUGCUUGCUAAUAUUUAGAUAUGAUAUACAAACACAGGAAAUAAAGAACCAAUUGAACGCAUAAUUUGACCUCACAAAGACCCGUCACAUAUCUAGAAAAGCCAAUGCUUUCUUCUUGUUACUCUGCUUGGCACAUCUCCACUUGCAUACAAUGAAUUAUAAUGAACUUCACUCCAAAAGCUCAGCCAAACCUCUCUGGUGGGAUUCUUGUCCUUGGGAAUGAUCUCGAUAUAGCAAGUGUCCCGAAAAGAUGUGACCAAACAAAUUUUGGCUGCAAAUCGAUCUGCAGCUGCUUGUAAAGUAACAUGAUCCCCCCAUUCCCCUGAUUUUUUCAUUUUCUUUAGGUAGCUUUUGUACUUCAUCGGUACGUAACCUUCGUAUAACUUUUUGAAAUGCUUUAGCUGCUUGAUUAUUUGCUUCCUUACAUGUUUGUGGUAAUCUGGACUGCGAAACAGCUGAUCUGCUAAUGCUCGGAACUGUUAUUUCAAACCAAAUAACAGUUUUUAUGAUAAGCAUAAUGUAAGAUGAAGCAAUUGUUUAUAAGAACAAGUAGACAGUUCUCAUAGAAAUAUCCAAUAAAAUGCAGUGUGUACAGAUUACAGAAUGACCUACAAAAGUACAAUUAUCAAUAAAAAAAAUGAGAUUGUGGAAAAUUGAAUUUGUAGCUGCACCUGGCAAUUCCCAUCACCCUCAAUUUGCAGUUCAGCUAAAUCAUAUGUUUUCAGCCUUUCAGAUAGCCUCUCAUGGUCUAAGGUUGCAUCGUUCACAUCAGGUAUCUCACCAUUGAUCCGGGGAGUGUGUGGGAUGGAAUCCAAAUGAGAGAGUCUCUUCCCAAGCUUUCCAGCAACAUUAGAGUUUUCCUCUUCAGCUAAGAUACUUGCAAUGGUUUGGUCAUCCUCUGUAUCUGGGAGGCUGCUAUUCAAACUUGAGGUUGAGCUUGCACUUGCAUUACUUGCAUUACUAUAGCUUUCAGUCAUCAUAUGAUAUGGUGAGUUUCCAGUUGCAUUACUAUAGCUUUCAGCCAUUAUAUGAUAUCAACAAUAACAUAUACAGGUAAUCUUCUUAACCUAUUAAACAAGUCAAACAAGGAAUCAAAAUGCAUUAAACCAUCAGAUGUAUUAAUCUUAAAAUAAAAUUGAUAAUUUUCCAUGCAGAUCAUUGCUAAAUUAUAAACUAGUGAUAUAUAAUUGAUUCAAUGCGCCCUACAUCUACUUCCAAAAAUUGAACUCUGAGAUACCCACAAGUUAAAAGAGUAAAUAACAACUGAAGAUCACAAAAAUUAAAAAGGCAGGCUAUCAACACAGCCAUAGAAGUGUCAAGAAAGACCCACUACAGCUAUUGUUAUUAUUUUUCCAUUCCUUUCUCUAAUUUGUUCCUUUGAAGAUGUCAAAAUAAAAGGGGAUGAAAUUAUUUAGCUCUAAAAAAGAGAAUAUCUUUUCUGUCCAUUUUCUGGGAAGGCAAACAUAGAAAAUCCAAGAAGAAAUGCAAAUACACAACUGAGCAGCAACAAAAAGGCAAAUCACAUAAAUCAACCUAAAACAAAAGGCAAAAAACUGAAAUUUAAGUAAAGAAUAAAGAAUACCCAGAAUCAAACUCGCAGCUUAGUUGCUGA
rnacentral:misc_RNA from 1 species